UUAGUCGGGAGCUAAGGUGAGGCCUAACGGCGUAGCCGAUGCACAGACGGUAGAGAUUCCGUCACCACCAAAAGAGUUAAACACAGGGACAUAUUUGAAGUCUCGGAGCCGGGUGUUGGUUCCGGUAGCGAUCGAGGGAAAUUAGUACCGAAGUCCGGGAUGGAGGAUGGCGAGAAAAGCUGUGUGUAUUUCUGCGGUGCCCGUACCGCAAACCGACACAGGUAGGUAGGAAGAAGAUUCUAAGGCCAACGGGAGAAGGGUUGUUAAGGAACUCGGCAAAUUGACCCCGUAACUUCGGGAGAAGGGGUGCUCUAGAGAUAGAGCCGCAGAGAAUCGGCCCAAGCAACUGUUUACCAAAAACACAGGUUUGUGCUAAAUCGAAAGAUGACGUAUACGAGCUGACGCCUGCCCGGUGCUGGAAGGUUAAGAGGAGAUGUGCAAGCAUUGAAUCGAAGCCCCAGUGAACGGCGGCCGUAACAAUAACGGUCCUAAGGUAGCGAAAUUCCUUGUCAGGUAAGUUCUGACCCGCAUGAAAGGCGUAAUGAUUUGGGCACUGUCUCGACAGACCGCCCGGCGAAAUUGUAGUACCGGUGAAGAUGCCGGUUACCCGCGACAAGACGGAAAGACCCCAUGGAGCUUUACUGUAGCCUAAUAUUGGGUUUCGAUGUUGCAUGCACAGGAUAGAUGGGACACUGGGAAGCAAGUGCUUUGGCAUUUGUGGAGUGGCCGUUGGGAUACCAUCCUUGCGAUAUUGGAAUUCUAACCUGCGCCUUUGAAUCAAGGCGGGGGACAUUGUUAGGUGGGCAGUUUGACUGGGGCGGUCGCCUCCUAAAGAGUAACGGAGGCGUUCAAAGGUUCGCUCAGCUUGAACGGAAAUCAAGCAAAAGAGUGCAAACGCAGAAGCGAGCCUAACUGCGAGACUGACGGGUCGAGCAGUAACGAAAGUUGGAGUUAGUGAUCCGGUGGUAUGUGAGUGGAAAUGCCAUCGCUCAACGGAUAAAAGUUACCCUGGGGAUAACAGGCUGAUCUCCCCCAAGAGUCCACAUCGACGGGGGGGUUUGGCACCUCGAUGUCGGCUCAUCGCAUCCUGGGGCUGUAUUCGGUCCCAAGGGUUUGGCUGUUCGCCAAUUAAAGCGGUACGCGAGCUGGGUUCAGAACGUCGUGAGACAGUUCGGUCCCUAUCUGUCGUGGGCGCAGGAUAUUUGAUGGGAGCUGUUCCUAGUACGAGAGGACCGGAGCGGACGUACCUCUGGCGCACCAGUUGUUCUGCCAAGGGCAUAGCUGGGCAACUAUGUACGGAUCGGAUAAACGCUGAAAGCAUCUAAGCGUGAAGCCGACCCAAAGAUAAGAUAUCCCAUUGUUUCAAACAAGUAAGACCCCUUGAAGACUACAAGGUUGAUAGGCAUGAUGUGCAAGUGGGGUGAUCCAUUCAGCAAGCGUGUACUAAUAGGUCGAGGGCUUGACCG
rnacentral:rRNA from 1 species